UUGUGCGCUUGCGCAAUGACCGCCAAGACGGGCGCGUGCGCGCUGGUGUCUAGGGCGAUGGGCGGGGUGUGGACGCCUUCGCUAUGGCAGCCCGCGAUCUUUCUCAGUCUUGGGCUUCCUGACGCCUCCAGCAAGCGAGGUCUCUUGGGCCGGUUUCGCAGUCAUGUACCCACCGCCGCCGCCGGCGCCUCACCGGGACUUCAUCUCGGUGACGCUGAGCCUGGGCGAGAGCUACGACAACAGCAAGAGCCGGCGGCGGCGCUCAUGCUGGAGGAAAUGGAAGCAACUUUCAAGGUUACAGCGGAAUGUUAUUCUCUUCCUCCUGGGCUUUCUGAUUCUCUGUGGAUUCCUGUCUUAUCUCCAGGCGGCUGACCAGUGGAAAGCGCUGAGUGGCAGACCUGCAGAAGAACAGAAGGUGAAGCCAGAAGUCCCACCUGCCCUACCAGCGCCUCAGAAGGAAAGAGCUAAACCAGAAGAUUUUCCAGAUAUAGUCCCUCAGGUAUUUCCAGUAAAGGCUAUGUGGAGUUGUCACUGGGGUCUGUUCUGGAGCAUUGCAAGUAGGCAAGUAUUGCCCAGAGAGGCUGAAGGCUUUUCCACUAUCACACUCAACCUCACACUGGCUCAGUUGAGGCUGUCUGUAUAAAGUUGGGGAAAGAAGAAGCAGACACUUGCUUCAUUCUCUUGGCACACCACCGUGGUCCAGCUUCUAUGUUAGGUGAUGGCUUCCUACUCAUAAGGAAAGAGACCUUUCUCUUUGGAGGAACCACAGGAGCUGAUAGGAAGGGCUGAUGAGAAACCUAUCUCCAGGCGGCUGACCAGUGGAAAGGUACUAGAAAUACUAGCGGUAUUAGGGUAGUGGGGGCGCAGGCUGGAGUAAGAUACAUUCUUGCCAUCCAGUUGAAACAGUACCAGGAGGCAUAUGCGGUGACAGAUGCACAAGAAAUGCAUCUAAGGGGGAAAUUCGGAGGUCAGUAUGACCACCUGGUUGUGCAGCAGACUCUGAAGGCUGCUCUCUAGGUAUUUGGUGCCAACAGUGCUGCCUCUCUUUCAGAGAAUAUCAGUCAAAAGCAUCAACACUAUUCACAUAAGUGUCCCUACCGCUUGAUACAAUGUGUUUGCCAAAGAC
rnacentral:lncRNA from 1 species